AGUGAACGCUGGCGGCAGGCCUAACACAUGCAAGUCGAACGGCAGCACAGUAAGAGCUUGCUCUUACGGGUGGCGAGUGGCGGACGGGUGAGGAAUACAUCGGAAUCUACUUUUUCGUGGGGGAUAACGUAGGGAAACUUACGCUAAUACCGCAUACGACCUACGGGUGAAAGCAGGGGAUCUUCGCACCUUGCGCGAUUGAAUGAGCCGAUGUCGGAUUAGCUAGUUGGCGGGGUAAAGGCCCACCAAGGCGACGAUGCGUAGCUGGUCUGAGAGGAUGAUCAGCCACACUGGAACUGAGACACGGUCCAGACUCCUACGGGAGGCAGCAGUGGGGAAUAUUCGACAAUGGGCGAAAGCUUGAUCCAGCCAUACCGCGUGGGUGAAGAAGGCCUUCGGGUUGUAAAGCCCUUUUGUUGGGAAAGAAAAGCAGCAGAUUAAUACCCCGCUGUUCUGACGGUACCCAAAGAAUAAGCACCGGCUAACUUCGUG
rnacentral:rRNA from 1 species